rnacentral:SRP_RNA from 1 species
GGGUAAGUCUUAUACGACCAGCUCCCGCUCAACUCCCCCAGGGUCGGAAGGCAGCAAGGGUAGGCGGUUGUAGCGGUGCGAUAUAAGGGGCUUGCCCCUU